GGAAAGCGAAUACGAGAGCUCAUCGCACAUACCAGUAUCCUCAACUCUUGCUGCGGCUGCAAGGCCACACACGGAACCACGCAUGCUUGGUGCUUUGCACAUGUUGGAAGCUGCCAACUCUUUUACGGAA
rnacentral:lncRNA from 1 species